GGAACCCGUCCUGCACUCGUCUCACAAUUAGGUAACUGGGGACAUAGUCAUUUUAGUGGAGAGUGAAAGUAACAUCAUGGUGAUUAAAAGACCCUACUUUCUCUCUGACCCUAAAGGGGCUGCUGGCCCUAGAAGGUUAGGAUCAUUCUUGUCAAGUCUAUGUGUUACAUUUACUUUUACAAAAAAAAAAAAAGUAAAGAAUAUAUACAUAUAUCAGCACACAAAAGCAACCCGGAGGUUGCUAGUGCCAGUUGAAACAGUCCUGUGUGGUCACCAGAAAAUAAGCCAUUCCUCAUAUCAAAUGGGAUAAACUCCUUGAACCUCUUGCUGUGUUUGGAUCCCUUUGCCUUGUUUUGUAGAGGUGAAGCCCCUUGAUCGUGUCCAGGUUUUUGUCUUUCAUUGUCUGAAUCAUGUUCUAGCUGCUUGGUCCUACUGUGAAGGGUCAGGACUCAUUUAGGCAUAACAACUAAGUCUCUUUUCAGAUCAGUACAAUAAAGGAGUAAUGAGCAAU
rnacentral:lncRNA from 1 species